UACGUAGGAUGCAAGCGUUGUCCGGAUUUACUGGGCGUAAAGCGCGCGCAGGCGGCACUCUAAGUCCGCUGUGAAAUCUCCCGGCUCAACCGGGAGGGUGCAGUGUAGACUAGGGAGCUAGAGGUCGGUAGAGGGGGGUGGAAUUGCUGGUGUAGUGGUGAAAUGCGUAGAGAUCAGCAGGAACACCAGCGGCGAAGGCGGCGACCUGGACGAGCACUGACACUCAACAACGAAAGCGUGGGGAGCAAACAGG
rnacentral:rRNA from 1 species